CCAAGGCGCACGCUUGCCCAACAGCGGAUCUCCUCUUCCCAAAUUUCCAUUUCAGCUCGGGCGUUUAGGACAGCAGCAGGGACACGGUGCGGGGGCAGCGCUCAGCCCCAGAACCCGGCGGGGUGUGCCUUUGGCUGGGGAUCCCCUGACGCGAAACACCCCCUCCCGGGCCGGGCUCCUUUACCGGAGGCCCGCGGACUCCCCACGGCAAUCAGCGGGGCUGGGCUCCGGCUCCUCAAAAGAACUCACAGAAACACAGAAAGGCCCAGGGGGAGUCUUUUGCUGCUGGAAACAACUCUGCCUGGGACCCAGAAUCCAGAAAUGGGUGUCCCUGACCCAGGCAGGCAGAGAGAGGGAUUUUCACCAGUGCAAAUGCAAGAGGAAUGUUGGGAACACAGCUUGGCUAAAGGUAAGGGAAAGGUAAGGAAAGUAUUGUCCAGCACCUGCUAUGUUCUGGAUGCUGUACUUUGCAGAGAGAUAGUCUCAUGUAACCCUCACAACACCCCUAGGAGUUGAGCAUUGUUGUUAUUUCCAUUUU
rnacentral:lncRNA from 1 species